rnacentral:rRNA from 1 species
AGGAGGGGCCCAUGCGAUAUUAGCUAGUUGGAGGGGUAACGGCCCACCAAGGCGAAGAUGUCUAGCGGGUGUGAGAGCACGACCCGCGCCAUUGGCACUGAGACACUGGCCAGACUCCUACGGGAGGCUGCAGUCGAGGAUCUUCGGCAAUGGGCGCAAGCCUGACCGAGCGACGCCGCGUGUGCGAUGAAGGCCCUUCGGGUUGUAAAGCACUGUCGAGAGGGAGCAAGCCGCAAGGUUGAGCGACCUCUGGAGGAAGCACGGGCUAUGUUCUUGCCAGCAGCCGCUGUAAGACUAACCGUGCGNNNNNNNNNNUGCAGUCGAGGAGCUUCGGCAAUGAGCGCAAGCUUGACCGAGCGACGCCGCGUGUGCGAGGAAUGCCUUCGGGGUGUAAAGCACUGUCGAGAGGGAGAAAGGGAAACUUGAUCUAUCUCUGGAGGAAGCACGGGCUAAGUUCGUGCCAGCAGCCGCGGUAAGACGAACCGUGCGAACGUUGUUCGGAAUCACUGGGCUUAAAGGGCGCGUAGGCGGGAUGGCAAGUCGGAGGUGAAAGCCCCCAGCUUAACUGGGGAAGUGCCCUCGAUACUGCCGUUCUCGAGAGAGGUAGGGGCGUGUGGAACUUCCGGUGGAGCGGUGAAAUGCGUAGAUAUCGGAAGGAACGCCGGUGGCGAAAGCGAUGCGCUGGACCUUUUCUGACGCUGAGGCGCGAAAGCCAGGGGAGCGAACGGGAUUAGAUACCCCGGUAGUCCUGGCCCUAAACGAUGGGUACUGGGUUGCGGGUCAGACAUGGACUCGCAGCCGAAGCAAAAGUGGUAAGUACCCCGCCUGGGGAGUAUGGUCGCAAGGCUGAAACUCAAAGGAAUUGACGGGGGCGCACACAA